rnacentral:rRNA from 1 species
UACGUAGGGUGCAAGCGUUGUCCGGAAUUAUUGGGCGUAAAGAGCUCGUAGGCGGUCUGUCGCGUCUGCUGUGAAAACUCAGGGCUUAACCCUGAGCUUGCAGUGGGUACGGGCAGACUAGAGUGCGGUAGGGGAGACUGGAAUUCCUGGUGUAGCGGUGAAAUGCGCAGAUAUCAGGAGGAACACCAGCGGCGAAGGCGGCGCUCUGGGCCGGUACUGACACUGAGGAGCGAAAGCGUGGGUAGCAAACAGG